NNNNNNNNAUAAACAAAUUCAUACUGUGCAACUACGAAUGGCUCAGUCAAUCAGUUAUACUUUGUUUGAUGGUAUCUACUACUUGGAUAACCAUAGUAAUUCUAGAGCUAAUAUGUGACAAAAACCACGACAUGUGGAAGGGAUACAUUUAUUAGAUAAAAGGUCGACGCGGGAUCUGCCCAUUAUCGCGAUGAUUCAUGAUAACUCGAUGGAUCGCAAGACCGUCAUGACGGUGACGCAUCAUUCUAAUUUUUGCUGGAUCAACUUUCGAUAGUAGGAUAGUGGCCUACCAUGGUUGUGACAAGUGAUGGAGAAUUAGGGUUCGAUUCCUGAGAGGGAGCCUGAGAAAUGACUACCACAUCCAAGGAAGGC
rnacentral:rRNA from 1 species